GGGGAAUUUUCCGCAAUGGGCGAAAGCCUGACGGAGCAAGACCGCGUGGGGGAGGAAGGUUCUUGGAUUGUAAACCCCUUUUCUCAGGGAAGAACACAAUGACGGUACCUGAGGAAUCAGCAUCGGCUAACUCCGUGCCAGCAGCCGCGGUAAUACGGAGGAUGCAAGCGUUAUCCGGAAUAAUUGGGCGUAAAGCGUCCGUAGGUGGCUGUUCAAGUCUGCCGUUAAAGACCGGGGCUUAACCCUGGAAAGGCGGUGGAAACUGAACGGCUAGAGUGCAGUAGGGGUAGAGGGAAUUCCCAGUGUAGCGGUGAAAUGCGUAGAGAUUGGGAAGAACACCGGUGGCGAAAGCGCUCUGCUGGACUGCAACUGACACUGAGGGACGAAAGCUAGGGGAGCGAAUGGGAUUAGAUACCCCAGUAGUCCUAGCCGUAAACGAUGGAUACUAGGUGUGGCCUGUAUCGACCCGGGCCGCGCCGUAGCUAACGCGUUAAGUAUCCCGCCUGGGGAGUACGCACGCAAGUGUGAAACUCAAAGGAAUUGACGGGGGCCCGCACAAGCGGUGGAGUAUGUGGUUUAAUUCGAUGCAACGCGAAGAACCUUACCAGGACUUGACAUGUCCGGAACCCUCUGGAAACAGAGGGGUGCCUUCGGGAACCGGAACACAGGUGGUGCAUGGCUGUCGUCAGCUCGUGUCGUGAGAUGUUGGGUUAAGUCCCGCAACGAGCGCAACCCUCGUCCUUAGUUGCCAUCAUUAAGUUGGGCACUUUAGGGAGACUGCCGGUGACAAACCGGAGGAAGGUGGGGAUGACGUCAAGUCAGCAUGCCCCUUACGUCCUGGGCUACACACGUACUACAAUGCUACGGACAAAGGGCAGCAAGUUAGCAAUGACAAGCAAAUCCCAUAAACCGUGGCUCAGUUCAGAUCGCAGGCUGCAACUCGCCUGCGUGAAGGCGGAAUCGCUAGUAAUCGCCGGUCAGCAUACGGCGGUGAAUCCGUUCCCGGGCCUUGUACACACCGGCCCGUC
rnacentral:rRNA from 1 species